UCCGGUUUGUCACCGGCAGUCUCAUUAGAGUGCCCUUUCGUAGCAACUAAUGACAAGGGUUGCGCUCGUUGCGGGACUUAACCCAACAUCUCACGACACGAGCUGACGACAGCCAUGCAGCACCUGUGUAUCGGUUCUCUUUCGAGCACUUCCGCCUCUCGGCAGAAUUCCGACCAUGUCAAGGGUAGGUAAGGUUUUUCGCGUUGCAUCGAAUUAAUCCACAUCAUCCACCGCUUGUGCGGGUCCCCGUCAAUUCCUUUGAGUUUUAAUCUUGCGACCGUACUCCCCAGGCGGUCUACUUCACGCGUUAGCUGCGUUACCAAGUCAAUUAAGACCCGACAACUAGUAGACAUCGUUUAGGGCGUGGACUAC
rnacentral:misc_RNA from 1 species